rnacentral:rRNA from 1 species
UACGGGGGGGGCAAGCGUUGUUCGGAAUUACUGGGCGUAAAGGGCGCGUAGGCGGUUUGUUAAGUUGGAUGUGAAAACUCUGGGCUUAACCCAGAGCCUGCAUCCAAAACUGGCAGGCUAGAGUUUUGGAGGGGGAAGCGGAAUUCCUGGUGUAGCAGUGAAAUGCGUAGAUAUCAGGAGGAACACCAAUGGCGAAGGCAGCACUCUGGGACGGUACUGACGCUGAGACGCGAAAGCGUGGGGAGCAAACAGG